rnacentral:SRP_RNA from 1 species
GCCGGGCGUGGUGGCUCACGCCUAUAAUCCCAGCACUUUGGGAGGCUGAGGCGGGUGGAUCACCUGAGGUCAGGAGUUCUAGACCAGCCUGGCCAACAUGGUGAAACCCCGUCUCUA